rnacentral:rRNA from 1 species
AAUAGAUACCCCGGUAGUCCUAGCCGUAAACGAUGAGUGCUAUGUGUGAGGGGUAUCGACCCCCUCGUGCAGGAGCUAACGCACUAAGCACUCCGCCUGGGGAGUACGGCCGCAAGGUUGAAACUCAAAGGAAUUGACGGGGGCCCGCACAAGCAGCGGGGCAUGUGGUUUAAUUCGAAGCAACGCGUAGAACCUUACCAGGGCUUGACAUCCACCGAACCCUGCAGAGAUGCGGGGGUGCCUCUUUUCGGAGAGGAACGGUGAGACAGGUGGUGCAUGGUCGUCGUCAGCUCGUGUCGUGAGAUGUUGGGUUAAGUCCCGCAACGAGCGCAACCCUGUCGCAUGUUGCCAGCACGUUAUGGUGGACACUCAUGCGAGACUGCCGGUGACAAACCGGAGGAAGGUGGGGAUGACGUCAAAUCAUCAUGCCCCUUAUGUCCUGGGCUACACACGUGCUACGAAUGGCCGCCACAGGAGCGCCCCGAACCCGCGAGGGGGAGGCCAAUCGCGAAAGGCGGUCCCAGUUCGG